rnacentral:rRNA from 1 species
UCGGGAAUUUUGGGCAAUGGGCGAAAGCCUGACCCAGCAACGCCGCGUGAAGGAUGAAGUAUUUCGGUAUGUAAACUUCGUAAGAAUAGGAAGAAUAAAUGACGGUACUAUUUGUAAGGUCCGGCUAACUACGUGCCAGCAGCCGCGGUAAUACGUAGGGACCAAGCGUUGUUCGGAAUUACUGGGCGUAAAGCGUGCGUAGGCGGCCUGUUAAGUCAGAUGUGAAAGCCCUGGGCUCAACCUGGGAACUGCAUUUGAAACUGGCAGGCUAGAGUUAGGUAGAGGGGAGUGGAAUUUCAGGUGUAGCGGUGAAAUGCGUAGAUAUCUGAAGGAACACCAGUGGCGAAGGCGGCUCCCUGGACCCAAACUGACGCUGAGGUACGAAAGCGUGGGUAGCAAACAGGAUUAGAUACCCCGGUAGUCCCUGAGCGGGCUGGCAAGGCGCAU